rnacentral:rRNA from 1 species
AGAACGAACGCUGGCGGCAUGCCUAACACAUGCAAGUCGAACGCGUGUAGCAAUACACGAGUGGCGCACGGGUGAGUAACACGUGGGAACCUGCCCUGGAGUGGGGGAUAACCCGGCGAAAGCCGGGCUAAUAUCGCAUACGACCUGAGGGUGAAAGAUUUAUCGCUCUAGGAGGGGCCCGCGUCGGAUUAGCUAGUUGGUGAGGUAACGGCUCACCAAGGCUAUGAUCCGUAGCUGGUCUGAGAGGAUGAUCAGCCACACUGGGACUGAGAUACGGCCCAGACUCCUACGGGAGGCAGCAGUGGGGAAUAUUGGACAAUGGGGGCAACCCUGAUCCAGCAAUGCCGCGUGAGUGAUGAAGGCCUUAGGGUUGUAAAGCUCUUUCGGCGGGGACGAUGAUGACGGUACCCGCAGAAGAAGCCCCGGCUAACUUCGUGCCAGCAGCCGCGGUAAUACGAAGGGGGCGAGCGUUGUUCGGAUUUACUGGGCGUAAAGGGCGCGUAGGCGGUUUUGGUAGUCAGGCGUGAAAGCCCCGGGCUUAACCUGGGAAUUGCGCUUGAUACUCUGAAACUGGAGUACGGGAGAGGAGAGUGGAAUUCCCAGUGUAGAGGUGAAAUUCGUAGAUAUUGGGAAAGAACACCGGUGGCGAAGGCGGCUCUCUGGACCGUAACUGACGCUGAUGCGCGAAAGCGUGGGGAGCGAACAGGAUUAGAUACCCUGGUAGUCCACGCCGUAAACGAUGUGCGCUAGACGUUGGAAGGCUUAGCUUUUCAGUGUCGUAGCUAACGCGAUAAGCGCACCGCCUGGGGAGUACGGCCGCAAGGUUAA